AGUAGUAUUAGUUAUGUUCUUGAAACUUAAAGAAUUUGGCGGUAUCUUAUUCCGUUCARAGGAAUCUGUCUCGUUAUCGAUAGUCCACGUUGGACCUUACUUAGUUGCUAUGGUUUGUAUACCGCCGUUUAUUGAUUAUCUUUUUAGUGUUUUUUGAAUUUUCUGGUUUCUUGGUUUAGAUUUAUUUCAGGUCAAGGUGCAGCUUGUUUCUAAGUGUUAUGAUGGAUUACAUUGUUAUUGGUUAUCGGAUUGUUGGAUUCAAUUUCUGACAUGAAGUUGGAUUUGAUUGUAAUGUUUUGUAGAUUGUUUUCGUGAUAGUGGCUCUAARAUAUGCACACAUCGCCCGU
rnacentral:rRNA from 1 species